rnacentral:rRNA from 1 species
UGGGGAAUUUUGCACAAUGGGGGAAACCCUGAUGCAGCGACGCCGCGUGAUUUAGAAGGCCUUCGGGUUGUAAAAAUCUUUUCUAUGGGAAGAAAAUGACAGUACCAUAGGAAUAAGGACCGGCUAAUUACGUGCCAGCAGCCGCGGUAAUACGUAAGGUCCGAGCGUUGUCCGGAAUCAUUGGGCGUAAAGGGUACGUAGGCGGGUAAGCAAGUUAGAAGUGAAAUCCUAUAGCUCAACUAUAGUAAGCUUUUAAAACUGCUCAUCUUGAGGUAUGGAAGGGAAAGUGGAAUUCCUAGUGUAGCGGUGAAAUGCGUAGAUAUUAGGAGGAAUACCGGUGGCGAAGGCGACUUUCUGGCCAUAACCUGACGCUGAGGUACGAAAGCGUGGGUAGCAAACAGG